rnacentral:lncRNA from 1 species
UGCAUCUAGCCGACCUCAAGCCUCGACCCCAUGGCGCCCGAGGUCCACGAGCUCGACCCCAAGAUCCUACUAAAAGCCCCCGUUGCUAGCCACCUUCAGAUCCAUCGGCUGGCCACCAGACCUACCGGAGCCUCGCCCGAGAUGCCCAUCACCCCUCGUCGACCUUGCCGGCCAUCCCAGUCGUCCCUAAUCAACAGUAGUAGCCAAGGAGCUGCUCAACCCCGAGCGACCACCCACGUAGGAAC